AGGCCCGUUGGGACUCCGGGUGCCCGCGGGCCUUUUCCCGCGGCCGAACAUAGGAACAGGGGUGCGAAUCCCCGGCGAACCCGUCGCCGUAAUGGCAGAGGGGCGCCCCAGUGUGCCACUGGCCCUUUGGGCUGGGAAGGCGGGGCUCCCUGUUUGAUGCCUAAGCCGGAAGACUUGCCCGGAAAGGCCGUACCAA
rnacentral:ncRNA from 2 species